CCUACGGGAGGCAGCAGUGGGGGAUAUUGCACAAUGGGGGAAACCCUGAUGCAGCGACGCCGCGUGGGUGAAGAAGCGCUUCGGUGCGUAAAGCCCUGUCAGCAGGGAAGAAAAUGACGGUACCUGAAGAAGAAGCCCCGGCUAACUACGUGCCAGCAGCCGCGGUAAUACGUAGGGGGCAAGCGUUAUCCGGAUUUACUGGGUGUAAAGGGGGCGCAGACGGCGAUGCAAGCCAGGAGUGAAAGCCCGGGGCCCAACCCCGGGACUGCAUUUGGAACUGCGUGGCUGGAGUGUAGGAGGGGCAGGCGGAAUUCCUGGUGUAGCGGUGAAAUGCGUAGAUAUCAGGAGGAACACCGGUGGCGAAGGCGGCCUGCUGGACGGCAACUGACGUUGAGGCCCGAAAGCGUGGGGAGCAAACAGGAUUAGAUACCCCUGUAGUC
rnacentral:rRNA from 1 species